rnacentral:rRNA from 1 species
AACGAACGCUGGCGGCAUGCCUAACACAUGCAAGUCGAACGAGAUCUUCGGGUCUAGUGGCGCACGGGUGCGUAACGCGUGGGAAUCUGCCCUUUGGUUCGGAAUAAAAGUUGGAAACGACUGCUAAUACCGGAUGAUGAAGAAAGCCCAAAGAUUUAUCGCUAGAGGAUGAGCCCGCGUAGGAUUAGCUAGUUGGUGUGGUAAAGGCGCACCAAGGCGACGAUCCUUAGCUGGUCUGAGAUUAUAAUCAGCCACACUGGAACUGAGACACGGUCCAGACUCCUACGGGAGGAAGCAGUUAGGAAUAUUGGACAAUGGGGGCAACCCUGAUCCAGCCAUGCCGCGUGAGUGAAGAAGGCCAUAGGGUUGUAAAGCUCUUUCGGCCGCGAAGAUAAUGACAGGAGCGGAAGAAGAAGCCCCGGCUAAAUUCGUGCCAGCCGCCGCAGUAA